GUUUCCGUAUACACAAAAAACAUUUUAAAAACUCUAUCAACGAAGCUACACUAAGUACCUAUACCUAUAUAGUUUGAGGAUCAAAAAUCAGAUGAAAGGAUAAAAACUUUUUCACCGUCCACAAAUUCUACCGGAGAAAUAUCGAUCGGUUGUAGUGGUGCACUUUUAGUAUCCGUUAAAGUAUUCCCACAGUACAAAUUGAAAACGAUUUCCAUCGAUAAUAUCGAUUCAUUUCGGCGAGACUGCCAGGAUGAUAGAAUAAAAGUA